UUAAGUUCAGCGGGUAUUCUUACCUGAUUUGAGGUCAUUUAAUGAAAAAUUAUAGGCGCGAAUCAUGAGGAUGACCGAACCUAAUAAAAUAUUCGAUAUCUCAAACGUACAAAAAAAAUUUAAAUACGUUCGAAAAUCAUACAAAAAUUUUAAGUCACUUAACCGAAGAUAAGACGACCCAAUUCCGACGCGUCACCACGAAAGGCAGCAACAACACCGAUUUUUAUUUAACUGACCCUCAAACAGGCAUACUUUCCGGAAUACCAGAAAGUGCAAUAUGCGUU
rnacentral:misc_RNA from 1 species